rnacentral:misc_RNA from 1 species
UCUCGGUCUGGACUUCGAGGCCUGAGCACCGACUCGAGUGACUUUUGUUGACUUGUAAGAUGUAACCCAGACAUUCAGUGGGGAGAGUGAAUUUCAUCAGAUCUAGGAGUGCUGUUUAUUUUUCAUUCAUCAUGUACAAAAUACGAUCUUGCAGAAAUAUUCUAAAUGGUCGAGCUUAUGUGUUUGUCAAAAUACUUUUUAAAAAAAGGAGAAGUAAAUCUGAUUUGAUGUCUU